rnacentral:rRNA from 1 species
AUUGAACGCUGGCGGCAGGCCUAAAACAUGCAAGUCGAGCGAGCGGCGGACGGGUGAGUACUGUCUGGGAAACUGCCUGAUGGAGAGGGAUAACUACUGGACACGGUAGCUAAUACCGCAUACCCUCAGAUGUGCCCAGAUGGGGUUAGCUAGUAGGUGGGGUAACGGCUCACCUAGGCGACGACCCCUAGCUGGGCUGAGAGGAUGACCAGCCACACUGGAACUGAGACACGGUCCAGACUCCUACGGGAGGCAGCAGUGGGGAAUAUUGCACAAUGGGCGCAAGCCUGAUGCAGCCAUGCCGCGUGUGUGAAGAAGGCCUUCGGGUUGUAAAGUACUUUCAGCGGGGAGGCGUUACCCGCAGAAGAAGCACCGGCUAACUCCGUGCCAGCAGCCGCGAUAAUAC